rnacentral:piRNA from 1 species
UAUAAUUGGACGAUGCUCUUGCCAAUCAUA